rnacentral:lncRNA from 1 species
GCUUCGAUAGGAAGUUUCUCUAUCUGCCUUAAAUCUGACAUAUUGAGGCUUUCAUCGUAAGCUUCGAUUCAAAUUUGAAUUCAUAUAUACUCCAUAUUUAUGUACUACUUUUUUCCUCUAUUACUCUAUUAGUCUUUAUCCCUCUUUAAAAUUGAUAUACAUUUAUAUAUCAAUUUACAUGCAUCUUCUUCUCGAUUGUCUUCCUGCAAUUUUUCAAUUAUCCAUUUCUUUUGAUUUCCACUAAUUUUAUUCAUAUCUGUUUGUUUUGCAGUUUAAAAUUUGUGAAUUUGUUGGAAUCAUAUACCAGGUAUAUCCUCAUUUCAUUUAGUUUAUUCUUGAGAUCAUUAUAAUUGAUUUGAUAUUUUGAAUUCACAUAUAUUAGUCAAUGGUUUGUGAAAGAGAAGCAUCUUAAUUAUAUCUUCGUUAGUACUUAUGUAUAAACUGAAAAUUAAGGUCUAUGAGUGAUUCAUACAUUUUAGUUGCAUUUAAACUUUGUCCACAAACUAUUUGAUGGUUUGUGCAAAAGAAAUGGUUCGAUAAAUUUAUUAUUAAUUAUGUUAUUUUUUGUUCUUUGAGCUGUCUUAAUACAUUACCUCAUCCAUUAGCUUAUCAAAAAAAAAGUACUGACUAAUUAUCUUUGUUAGAUAGUGUAUUAUUUUGAUAAACAAUUUGAUGAAUUGAUUUGUAAAAGAGAUUGGUUGCAGAGAGAUAAAAGUAAUUAAUUGUUUAGCGCAAUUAAAACUGCUCUGCAUUUUAACACCCUUCCAACUAUUUCUAGAUAUGGUUUUGAUUGUAAUGGUUGGAUUAAUAAAUAUACAUUACAGUUGCUAAGAUCUGUCGACUGUUUGUUGCAACAAAGUGACUCUGACCAGAAAACUUUUAAGCUCAUGAAAAAUGGUCUAUUAGCUCACAGUCAAGAAAGUAAGCUAUUUACUGUUUUUUCAGUCAGUAUGUUAUUUGCACAUUGCUCAAAUGGCAAUUCAUUCAUCAAGUGAUUUUUUUUAUUAUAAACACUUUCUUUUUUCUUGGUGUGUAUUUGAUUCAUGGAUGAUAGUUGCUAAUUAUAUGUCAUUACAGUAAAAUAAGGAAAAGGCUGGCAAAAUGAUAUUUCCUAAGAUGUAAGCUAUUUACUAUUUUCUCUUUUUUCUUUUUUAAAAUGAACUUCCUCAAAAUUACACAUUCUGCCACCGUUUCUGAGUGCCUAUGCUGACACGUAAGUCUUGCACGUGGCCUCCACUUUUCACUCUACCAAACCUAAUAAGUGCAUAUAAUUAUACAUUUAAUUAAGAUUAUCAAUUACACCCAGCUUCCUCAGGAAGAUAAACCGAAACUUCUUGCAUACAACCAGUUUAUAGACUUCAGUUUGAUAAUUCAAAUUUGGUGAUUAUAUGUUUAUUUUUUGAUAUGUUGAGUUCGUGCAUGUAAGCACUGUUAUUUUCAAUCUUAUCGGUUUCUGACAUAUUUAAAUAUGAUUUGCAGGGUAUGUGAUUUCUCAUGCACUUUACUCUUUGAAUAUAAUUUCGAUUCGAAGAGAUCAGGUAAGAUUGACAAAUGCUUACACACACAUAGAUGCAGUUGGUUACUGUUUGGCCAUUUCAUCUGAAAUUCCAGUAUUAUGUGUGAAACCUGGCAUAAUCAAGUAACCUAUCUGUCAUUUUUACAUAGGUCGGGAGAAAGCAGAAGCAAGAUCACUAAAGCAAGAAGCAGAGAAAGCUUUAAAGCAAAGAUUAGCCUGUGAAGACAGAUUAGUCAGUAUGGAUGCUUCUCUGAAGGAGUGUAUGCAGCAGUUGUGUUUUGCAUGAGAAGAGAUCCUUUAAAUUUUAUGAGAAGAAUUUGGUAUGUAUUAAUAGUAGUCGCUCACUCGAACACUAUGCUAUAUAUAUCUACAGAGAUAAGAGCAUGAGAUUGUGCAACAUUAUGCUAUAUCUACGAAGAUAAGAGCAUGAGAUUGUGCAACAUUAUGCUAUAUCUACAGAGAUAAGAGCAUGAGAUUGUACAAAUCUGUAUAGCAAUGACUUAUGAUAUUGUAUAAAUCAGUAGAGAAACAUCUUCCUGAUAUAUAGUUGUGAAAUAGAAAAGAUAUAGCACGACAAUGUAUAUUAAAAUAUUUAAUAUAAAAUUU